rnacentral:misc_RNA from 1 species
AACGCAAAUUGCGCUUGAUCCUUCGGGAGAAAGCACGUCUGCCUGAGCGACGGCCUUCCCUCUCGACCCCCUUCCCUCCGGGGAAGCCGGCGUCGGACCUGGCCCUCCCAGCGCCGCCUCCUCGCGGAGCCCGCGCGCUGGGUCGGCUGAAGCGCAGAGGCCUGAGCAGGGAGCCCACACCAAAGGGGCACGGCAAGGUAGGUUGCCUCACGGCAGCUCCUUACCCGCCGCUGUCCCGGGAUCCCUUUUGCUUGGGGCCCAGCAGGAAAGCACUUACCCUUUCGUCCUCAGUUCAGGCGAGAUUACCCGCUGAACUUAA